ACAAGUAACUGGGGGGGCUGGAAAGGCCGGCUGAGAUAAAGAACCUAUGAAUUCUUUGACCCUUAUACCUGAUAUGGAUAAUACCAGCGUAGGGAAGUUGAAGAAUAAUAUA
rnacentral:ncRNA from 2 species